AGAGUUUGAUCCUGGCUCAGGAUGAACGCUGGCGGCGUGCUUAACACAUGCAAGUCGAACGAACCUUCGGGUUAGUGGCGGACGGGUGAGUAACGCGUGAGAAUCUGCCCUCAGGAGGGGGAUAACGGCUGGAAACGGCCGCUAAUACCCCAUAUGCCGAGAGGUGAAAUGAAUUUCGCCUGAGGAUGAGCUCGCGUCUGAUUAGCUAGUUGGUGGGGUAAGAGCCUACCAAGGCAUCGAUCAGUAGCUGGUCUGAGAGGAUGAUCAGCCACACUGGGACUGAGACACGGCCCAGACUCCUACGGGAGGCAGCAGUGGGGAAUUUUCCGCAAUGGGCGAAAGCCUGACGGAGCAACGCCGCGUGAGGGAUGAAGGCCUCUGGGCUGUAAACCUCUUUUAUCAAGGAAGAAGAUCUGACGGUACUUGAUGAAUAAGCCACGGCUAAUUCCGUGCCAGCAGCCGCGGUAAUACGGGAGUGGCAAGCGUUAUCCGGAAUUAUUGGGCGUAAAGCGUCCGCAGGCGGCCUGAUAAGUCUGUUGUCAAAGCGUGGAGCUUAACUCCAUUUCGGCAAUGGAAACUGUGAGGCUUGAGUGUGGUAGGGGCAGAGGGAAUUCCCGGUGUAGCGGUGAAAUGCGUAGAUAUCGGGAAGAACACCAGUGGCGAAGGCGCUCUGCUGGGCCAUAACUGACGCUCAUGGACGAAAGCCAGGGGAGCGAAAGGGAUUAGAUACCCCUGUAGUCCUGGCCGUAAACGAUGAACACUAGGUGUCGGGGGAAUCGACCCCCUCGGUGUCGUAGCCAACGCGUUAAGUGUUCCGCCUGGGGAGUACGCACGCAAGUGUGAAACUCAAAGGAAUUGACGGGGGCCCGCACAAGCGGUGGAGUAUGUGGUUUAAUUCGAUGCAACGCGAAGAACCUUACCAGGGUUUGACAUCCUGCGAAUCCCUUGGAAACUUGGGAGUGCCUUCGGGAGCGCAGAGACAGGUGGUGCAUGGCUGUCGUCAGCUCGUGUCGUGAGAUGUUGGGUUAAGUCCCGCAACGAGCGCAACCCACGUCUUUAGUUGCCAGCAUUGAGUUGGGCACUCUAGAGAGACCGCCGGUGAUAAACCGGAGGAAGGUGUGGAUGACGUCAAGUCAUCAUGCCCCUUACAUCCUGGGCUACACACGUACUACAAUGCUACGGACAAAGGGCAGCAAACUCGCGAGAGCUAGCAAAUCCCAUAAACCGUGGCUCAGUUCAGAUCGUAGGCUGCAACUCGCCUACGUGAAGGAGGAAUCGCUAGUAAUCGCAGGUCAGCAUACUGCGGUGAAUACGUUCCCGGGCCUUGUACACACCGCCCGUCACACCAUGGAAGUUGGCCACGCCCGAAGCCGUUACUCCAACCCUUGUGGAGGAGGACGUCGAAGGUGGGGCUGAUGA
rnacentral:rRNA from 1 species